rnacentral:rRNA from 1 species
UACGGAGGGUGCAAGCGUUAUCCGGAUUCACUGGGUUUAAAGGGUGCGUAGGCGGGCAGGUAAGUCAGUGGUGAAAUCUCCGAGCUUAACUCGGAAACUGCCGUUGAUACUAUUUGUCUUGAAUAUUGUGGAGGUAAGCGGAAUAUGUCAUGUAGCGGUGAAAUGCUUAGAUAUGACAUAGAACACCAAUUGCGAAGGCAGCUUACUACACAAAUAUUGACGCUGAGGCACGAAAGCGUGGGGAUCAAACAGG